UGGAGAAUUUUGGACAAUGGGCGAAAGCCUGAUCCAGCCAUGCCGCGUGAGUGAAGAAGGCCUUCGGGUUGUAAAGCUCUUUUAGUCGGAAAGAAAAGAUCAUAAUGAACAAUUAUGAUUCAUGACGGUACCGACAGAAAAAGCACCGGCUAACUACGUGCCAGCAGCCGCGGUAAUACGUAGGGUGCGAGCGUUAAUCGGAAUUACUGGGCGUAAAGGGUGCGCAGGCGGUUUUGUAAGUCAGAUGUGAAAUCCCCGGGCUUAACCUGGGAAUUGCGUUUGAAACUGCAAGACUAGAGUGCAGCAGAGGGGAGUGGAAUUCCAUGUGUAGCAGUGAAAUGCGUAGAGAUGUGGAAGAACACCGAUGGCGAAGGCAGCUCCCUGGGGUGACACUGACGCUCAUGCACGAAAGCGUGGGGAGCAAACA
rnacentral:rRNA from 1 species